rnacentral:rRNA from 1 species
UGGCGGACGGGUGAGUAAUGUCUGGGAAACUGCCCGAUGGAGGGGGAUAACUACUGGAAACGGUAGCUAAUACCGCAUAACGUCGCAAGACCAAAGAGGGGGACCUUAGGGCCUCUUGCCAUCGGAUGUGCCCAGAUGGGAUUAGCUAGUAGGUGGGGUAAUGGCUCACCUAGGCGACGAUCCCUAGCUGGUCUGAGAGGAUGACCAGCCACACUGGAACUGAAACACGGUCCAG